rnacentral:lncRNA from 1 species
AAUCCCUCAAAGAGCAGUCUCCAAUAGCCUAAAUGGAAAUCGCCCUGCCGGGGACAGAGCGGCUGACCUCUCACCACAGCUGGCCCAGGCUCACAGUGACUGAUGGAGUCACACAAGGUCAGGGGCGGCAGCAGGGUUAGCAGAGAGAUUGGCCAGUGUGCCAGCCCAUUCACUAACACCUGGCGCCCUGCCUGUCCCCCAGCCUCGGGGCCUCUGGAGCUACUGUGAGGGAGGAGCCCUCCGCCCUGCUGGGCUUAGCCACCUGGACCCCACAAAGGCACUGGCUGCCCAGAGCCGGCCCCAGAAAGGGCCCAAACCAACAGGGGGGAGUUUCGCUGCUGCAGCUGGACCAGGGAGAAGCUGGUUCGAGCUCUGUUGUCUCUAAUUUCUCCCAGAGUCACCAUCAUUCCUCUGAGGGUCCCUCUUUCCCACAUUUGUUGUCAUUGAUGGGUAUGUUAAUUCAUUCAACUCUCAAGAUAAGCUCUGUAUGAUGGAUACCAUUAUCUCCAUGAGGCAGAUGAGGAAGUGAAGCUCAGAAAGAAAACUGAUCCAAUGUCGGCCACACAGUGGUACAGCCAGCAUGUGAAACCACCUCUAGCCGGCUCCAAAGCCAAAGAUGCUGAGAUUCAUUCAUUCGCACAUACGAUAGAGUCCCUAUCAAGUCCAAGUUCCGUGGGAAACUGGAAAUAAAUGGUAUAUGAGACCCACUCCUUAUGUAGUUUAUUCCAAAUGCACUCAAUAGAUAUUGUCUAAGCUCCCACCAUGUUCCUGGGCCAUAGUGGUUUAUAAACCCCUAACAAAUGCAGACACAUUCCCAAGCAAUUAACAGUGUAAUUGGCUAAGUGCCACAGUGAUGGAAAGUCAGGGUAGGUGAUAACAGAGGAAGAGGGUGAGAGGCAGCUCCUCCACCGCCUGCCCCCCCGUACUGGGUUGGACAAACCUUGGAACAAGCCUACCCAGCCCCACUUUCUCCAUUUCUAAUCAUCCCCUUCCUUAACAACUCCUCCAUAAGCAGAGGUCUCAGGGAUUUAGGCUAUACUGGCCUUUGGCCUCUCCCUUGCAGCUAUAGAAAACUGUAGUGGAGCAAUGCCUUAGGCGGGGAUUGAUUUCCAUCCAAGAAGCCAGGCAGUGUACUUAAAGCUCCAUCAGGGGAAGGGAUGGGGAGAAAGACUGAGAAAGACUGAGGUGGUUCUGGAGAAAUCCAGAGAUGGCUCUGCAGUUAGUUACUGAUGGUGAGUGAAAAAUGAGGUGAGGUCAGCUCCCUGACAGCAAGGUCCAAGAGAAGCAGUGAAAUACCACAGAACUUCCAUUCUUUGUGGCCCUGAGGACACGGUGUCUAAAAAUAGACACACAAUACCAUUGGAUCUGCUAUGGAUUUCACAACUGCUGGCCCAGCACAAAAUGUUUGGCUUGGGCCAAGUCAGGAUGCAAUGAAAACCAGCCGGGAAGCUGAGCAUGACCAAGAUCAACAUUCACCAGGACAACAGCAACCCCUC